AGUAUCUUCGGAUAUGAGUAGAGCGGCGGACGGGUGAGUAACGCGUAGGAAUCUACCUAGUAGAAGGGGAUAGCCCGAGGAAACUCGGAUUAAUACCGUAUACCUCCUUCGGGAGAAAGAAGGCCUCUCUUUGAAGCUUUCGCUACUAGAUGAGCCUGCGUAAGAUUAGCUUGUUGGUGAGGUAAAGGCCUACCAAGGCAACGAUCUUUAGCUGGUCUGAGAGGACGAUCAGCCACAUUGGGACUGAGACACGGCCCAGACUUCUACGGAAGGCAGCAGUUAGGAAUAUUGGACAAUGGGGGCAACCCUGAUCCAGCUAUACCGCGUGUGUGAAGAAGGCCCUAGGGUUGUAAAGCACUUUAAGCAGGGAAGAAGCAUGUUAAGUUAAUACCUUAACAUGUUGACGUUACCUGAAGAAUAAGGACCGGCUAACUCCGUGCCAGCAGCCGCGGUAAUACGGAGGGUCCAAGCGUUAAUCGGAAUUACUGGGCGUAAAGCGCGCGUAGGCGGUUUAAUAAGUUGUAUGUGAAAGCCCUGGGCUCAACCUAGGAACUGCAUACAAAACUAUUAAGCUUGAGGACGAGAGAGGAGAGUAGAAUUUCAGGUGUAGCGGUGAAAUGCGUAGAUAUCUGAAGGAAUACCAAUGGCGAAGGCAGCUCUCUGGCUCGUUUCUGACGCUAAGGUGCGA
rnacentral:rRNA from 1 species